CUACUAUCCCACAGAUUUAAACGACACACUGCAAACAUUCAUCUAUGUCUCCCUCAGUUCUGAACUAGGUAGAAAAUGAAAAUAACAUUUUUCAGGACACCAAGACCCUUCACAUAGACCAAGCCAUUUCCCAGAUGCCUGGACAGCAGAGGUGCCCGAUCAGUGGGUGCUGAUUGAACCAGACUCAAUGAAGCAACGGCUGCCAUAGGCCACGUCGGAAUCCCUUUCUCCACCGUUAACAGCUCACAUCGUUUAGGGCCUGAGAGUGAGUUUGCGGAGCUGCUUGGACAAAUCAAAAGAAAGCCGGGGCCAGGAAGAAACUCAGACGUCAUCUGGGCUUACAUUUUAAUCUUGCAACUGAGAAGAGGGAGACUCAGCGGGCACAUAAGCCAUGUGUUCCAUGCCCAUGCGAAGUCAGGUCUGGAUAUGAAAUGCGAGCUGAAGUGACUGUGUGAUCCACUUGUGGAAGAUUUUAAGAGCCAAUCUGAAAUAUUCACACUUGAAAUCUGAAGGACUUGUAUAAUGCAAUUCAGCACCACGGACAGCAGGAAAAAAUCCCAUUGACAGAAUAAAUCUGAAGUUUUCCUUUCAGUAUUCAUGAAAAUCUGGUGCUUCAAAACAGAUACACACACAUCCAAUUAGGUACUCAAAAAUAUCUUCAGAAGAAUCCUAGAAAUUACAAAACACAAGUCCUUGGAACAGAGAAUGAAA